CAAGCUGCAAGACCAAUACAAGCCGCAAGACCAAGCCUCAAGACCAAGAAAAGCCACAAGACCAAGACAAGACUGACUAGCACUUGACCAUUGGUGAAGAGUCAAGGUAGAAACGUCUGACUAGCACUUGACCAUGGGUGAAGAGUCAAGGUAGAAACGUCUGACUAGCACUUGACCAUGGGUGAAGAGUCAAGGUAGAUACGUCUGACUAGCACUUGACCAUGGGUAAAGAGUCAAGGUAGAAACGUCUGACUAGCACUUGACCAUGGGUGAAGAGUCAAGGCAGAAACGUCUGACUAGCACUUGACCAUGGGUGAAGAGUCAAGGUAGAGACGUCUGACUAGCACUUGACCAUGGGUGAAGAGUCCAGGUAGAGACGUCUGACUAGCACUUGACCAUGGGUGAAGAGUCAAGGUAGAGACGUCUGACUAGCACUUGACCAUGGGUGAAGAGUCAAGGUAGAAACGUCUGACUAGCACUUGACCAUGGGUGAAGAGUCAAGGUAGAGACGUCUGAAUAGCACUUGACCAUGGGUGAAGAGUCAAGGUGGAUACGUCUGACUAGCACUUGACCAUGGGUGAAGAGUCAAGGUAGAGACGUCUGACUAGCACUUGACCAUGGGUGAAGAGUUAAGGUAGAUACGUCUGACUAGCACUUGACCAUGGGUAAAGAGUCAAGGUAGAAACGUCUGACUAGCACUUGACCAUGGGUGAAGAGUCAAGGUAGAGACGUCUGACUAGCACUUGACCAUGGGUGAAGAGUCAAGGUAGAUACGUCUGACUAGCACUUGACCAUGGGUAAAGAGUCAAGGUAGAAACGUCUGACUAGCACUUGACCAUGGGUGAAGAGUCAAGGUAGAGACGUCUGACUAGCACUUGAACAUGAUUGAAGAGUCAAGGUAGAUACGUCUGACUAGCACUUGACCAUGGGUAAAGAGUCAAGGUAGAAACGUCUGACUAGCACUUGACCAUGGGUGAAGAGUCAAGGUAGAAACGUCUGACUAGAACUUGACCAUGGGUGAAGAGUCAAUGUAGAAACGUCUGACUAGCACUUGACCAUGGGUGAAGAGUCAAGGUAGAGACGUCUGACUAGCACUUGACCAUGGGUGAAGAGUCAAGGUAGAUACGUCUGACUAGCACUUGACCAUGGGUAAAGAGUCAAGGUAGAAACGUCUGACUAGCACUUGACCAUGGGUGAAGAGUCAAGGUAGAUACGUCUGACUAGCACUUGACCAUGGGUGAAGAGUCAAGGUAGAGACGUCUGACUAGCACUUGACCAUGGGUGAAGAGUCAAGGUAGAGACGUCUGACUUGCACUUUACCAUGGGUAAAGAGUCAAGGUAGAUACGUCUGACUAGCACUUGACCAUGGGUGAAGAGUCAAGGUAGAGACGUCUGACUAGCACUUGACCAUGGGUGAAGAGUCAAGGUAGAAACGUCUGACUAGCACUUGACCAUGGGUGAAGAGUCAAGGUAGAGACGUCUGAAUAGCACUUGACCAUGGGUGAAGAGUCAAGGUAGAUACGUCUGACUAGCACUUGACCAUGGGUGAAGAGUCAAGGUAGAGACGUUUGACUAGCACUUGACCAUGGGUGAAGAGUCAAGGUAGAGACGUCUGACUAGCACUUGACCAUGGGUGAAGAGUCAAGGUAGAGACGUCUGACUAGCACUUGACCAUGGGUGAAGAAUCAAGGUAGAGACGUCUGACUAGCACUUGACCAUGGGUAAAGAGUCAAGGUAGAGACGUCUGAGUAGCACUUGGCCAUGGGUGGAGAGGUGAAACCCCAUUUAAACAGAUUACAAUCCAAGAAGCUGUGGUAAAAGGCCAACACAAUUACUGCUAUGAUGUUUGUGUCAGAGACAAGUUUCUUGUCAGGAGAAAGCAGGAAAAAGGGGCCCUGGUCUAAUUAUCAAUGAGGGCUGCCAGCUUGGUCAUUUACAAUGAGAUAUGGACUCUGGGCUUUAGUCACUGACAGACGAAAUGUUUGCCAAGUGCCUCCCCGGUCUCGCCUUGAGCCUCAGUCCAGUUGGAACAGGGCUGUUAUUAUAUCCACGAUAUGCGUCGCUAUAUUAAUUGCCGUCAUUACUGGAAUCUCCAUUCUUUGGUACUUUCGGAAAAAGAGGCACAUCGCAAAAACACCCGGACUGUACAAGUACGACGUGUUUGUUACGUACAACAGUCAAGACUACGGCUGGGUCAGAAGCCAUCUUCUCCCUACUGGAAGCGGAUACCAUCACCUGCUGCAUCCACAACUUUGAUACAGGAGUCCCUUACUAUGACACAGGAGUUCCUUACUAUGACACAGGAGUCCCUUACUAUGAGAACAUGGCGAACAGUGAGACAGGAGUUCCUUACUAUGAGAACAUGGCGAACAGUGAGA